UUCGAAACAACGCGAAGAACCUUACCUGGCCUUGACAUGCUGAGAACUUUCUAGAGAUAGAUUGGUGCCUUCGGGAACUCAGACACAGGUGCUGCAUGGUUGUCGUCAGCUCGUGUCGUGAGAUGUUGGGUUAAGUCCCGCAACGAGCGCAACCCUUGUCUUUAGUUGCCAUCAUUCAGUUGGGCACUCUAGAGAGACUGCCGAGGAUAACUCGGAGGAAGGUGGGGAUGACGUCAAAUCAUCAUGCCCCUUAUGUCCUGGGCUACACACGUGCUACAAUGGCUGGUACAAAGAGACGCAAGACCGCGAGGUGGAGCAAAUCUCAAAAACCAGUCCCAGUUCGGAUUGCAGGCUGCAACUCGCCUGCAUGAAGUUGGAGUUGCUAGUAAUCGCAGAUCAGAAUGCUGCGGUGAAUGCGUUCCCGGGUCUU
rnacentral:rRNA from 2 species